AUCCAGAAUGUACGGGACCUGGGGGUUUUCGGAAAAUGAUUCAUUUUAUCUCCGUUUGGAUAAAGUGCAAGGAAGAAAAUUAUACUCAGCCAAAAUGGAUUGCCUGUCAGCCAAGGUAACGAUGAUGCUUAUUUAAACCCUAAAAGAACAAAUAUAAAAUAAUAAAACAGGAGCUCUGAAAAUUGGAGCACAUGUUUUUUGGUGGACCUGAACUGUUUUUACAAAGCCGAAUAGUUUGUCAUUCAGUAUUAAUGGGAAGCUGUCAUAGUGGUAAAAAGAAAAUAUCCUAAAUUGUAACAGAUAUUUAAAAGUAUCCAUGUGGUGAGUAGUAUUUUUGUUCUUCAUAUGCUGGGCUUGCUGAUUGGUUUAGGUUCGGCGCUAGACCUGGUAAUCUUUUAUUAUAAUAAAACCACAAGCGUUCGAUUUUGUUUGCAGCAUAAAAAGAAGGUUCAGCUAAGAAAGUAUACAUAUUUGGCAAAUAGG